rnacentral:rRNA from 1 species
AGUGGGGAAUAUUGGACAAUGGGCGCAAGCCUGAUCCAGCCAUGCCGCGUGAGUGAUGAAGGCCUUCGGGUUGUAAAGCUCUUUUGUCCGGGAAGAUAAUGACUGUACCGGAAGAAUAAGCCCCGGCAAACUUCGUGCCAGCAGCCGCGGUAAUACGAAGGGGGCUAGCGUUGUUCGGAAUCACUGGGCGUAAAGCGCACGUAGGCGGCUCGUUAAGUCAGAGGUGAAAGCCUGGAGCUCAACUCCAGAACUGCCUUUGAUACUGGCGAGCUCGAGUAUGGCAGAGGUUGGUGGAACUCCGAGUGUAGAGGUGAAAUUCGUAGAUAUUCGGAAGAACACCAGUGGCGAAGGCGGCCAACUGGGCCAUUACUGACGCUGAGGUGCGAAAGCGUGGGGAGCAAA